rnacentral:rRNA from 1 species
UACGGAGGAUGCGAGCGUUAUCCGGAUUUAUUGGGUUUAAAGGGUGCGUAGGCGGGCUUUUAAGUCAGCGGUAAAGAUUCGGGGCUCAACCCCGUCCGGCCGUUGAAACUGGGGGCCUUGAGUGGGCGAGAAGAAGGCGGAAUGCGUGGUGUAGCGGUGAAAUGCAUAGAUAUCACGCAGAACCCCGAUUGCGAAGGCAGCCUUCCGGCGCCCUACUGACGCUGAGGCACGAAAGUGCGGGGAUCGAACAGG